AUACGGCCCAGACUCCUACGGGAGGCAGCAGUGGGGAAUAUUGCACAAUGGGCGGAAGCCUGAUGCAGCAACGCCGCGUGCGGGAUGACGGCCUUCGGGUUGUAAACCGCUUUCGCCUGUGACGAAGCGUGAGUGACGGUAAUGGGUAAAGAAGCACCGGCUAACUACGUGCCAGCAGCCGCGGUGAUACGUAGGGUGCGAGCGUUGUCCGGAUUUAUUGGGCGUAAAGGGCUCGUAGGUGGUUGAUCGCGUCGGAAGUGUAAUCUUGGGGCUUAACCCUGAGCGUGCUUUCGAUACGGGUUGACUUGAGGAAGGUAGGGGAGAAUGGAAUUCCUGGUGGAGCGGUGGAAUGCGCAGAUAUCAGGAGGAACACCAGUGGCGAAGGCGGUUCUCUGGGCCUUUCCUGACGCUGAGGAGCGAAAGCGUGGGGAGCGAACAGGCUUAGAUACCCUGGUAGUCCACGCUGUAAACGGUGGGUACUAGGUGUGGGGUCCAUUCCACGGGUUCCGUGCCGUAGCUAACGCUUUAAGUACCCCGCCUGGGGAGUACGGCCGCAAGGCUAAAACUCAAAGGAAUUGACGGGGCCCCGCACAAGCGGCGGAGCAUGCGGAUUAAUUCGAUGCAACGCGUAGAACCUUACCUGGGUUUGACAUGGAUCGGGAGCGCUCAGAGAUGGGUGUGCCUCUUUUGGGGUCGGUUCACAGGUGGUGCAUGGCUGUCGUCAGCUCGUGUCGUGAGAUGUUGGGUUAAGUCCCGCAACGAGCGCAACCCUUGUCUUAUGUUGCCAGCAUUUGGUUGGGGACUCAUGAGAGACUGCCGGGGUCAACUCGGAGGAAGGUGGGGAUGACGUCAAAUCAUCAUGCCCCUUAUGUCCAGGGCUUCACACAUGCUACAAUGGUCGGUACAACGCGCAGCGACACUGUGAGGUGGAGCGAAUCGCUGAAAGCCGGCCUUAGUUCGGAUUGGGGUCUGCAACUCGACCCCAUGAAGUCGGAGUCGCUAGUAAUCGCAGAUCAGCAACGCUGCGGUGAAUACGUUCCCGGGGCUUGUACACACCGCCCGUCAAGUCAUGAAAGUUGGUAACACCCGAAGCCGGUGGCCUAACCGUUGUGGGGGAGCCGUCGAAGGUGGGACUGGUGAUUAGGACUAAGUCGUAACAAGGUAGCCGUACCGGAAGGUGCGGCUG
rnacentral:rRNA from 1 species